CUGGCUCAGGACGAACGCUGGCGGCGUGCCUAAUACAUGCAAGUCGAGCGAACAGAGAAGGAGCUUGCUCCUUCGACGUUAGCGGCGAACGGGUGAGUAACACGUGGGCAACCUACCUUAUAGUUUGGGAUAACUCCGGGAAACCGGGGCUA
rnacentral:rRNA from 1 species